GAGGGAAAAAAAAUUACUUUUGCCGAGUGUGUCGAAAAACACUCGGCAAACCCUAAAGUAUGCCGAGUGUUCCCCCUAGCACUCAGCAUACUCGCCACUUUGCCGAGUGUCCCAUGCCGACACUCGGCAAAGUAGUAGGUUUGCCGAGUGUUCCAUCACGACACUCGGCAAACUAGUGGCUUUGCCGAGUGCCCCCCGUCGACACUCGGCAAAGCCUAACGUCCGUCACGGCACCGGCCCGUCGCGGCACGGGGAAGUCACGUGCUCAUCACUUUGCCGAGUGCUCCAUCUUUGCCGAGUGCCCCGUGGGUGUUUGCCGAUUGUUUUUUUGGUGGCACUCGGCAAAUAGGCUCUUUGCCGAGUGUAUUAUGUUUGCCGAGUGUUUUUAGUAUUGCACUCGGCAAACCGGUCCUUCGCCGAGUGCCCGCAAUAAUACACUCGGCGAAGUAAUUACACUCGGCAAAUUUGAGGUUUCCCGUAG
rnacentral:lncRNA from 1 species